GGAUCCAGACUUUGAUUAUGGCUCAGGAUGAACGCUGGCGGCGUGCCUAACACAUGCAAGUCGAGCGAGAAGCUUAUGAUUGAAUCUUCGGAUGAUUGAUUAAGUGGAAAGCGGCGGACGGGUGAGUAACGCGUGGGUAACCUGCCCCAUACAAAGGGAUAGCCACUGGAAACGGUGAUUAAUACCAUAUGAGAUCGUAGAGUCGCAUGACUUAGCGGUUAAAGAUUUAUCGGUAUGGGAUGGACCCGCGUCUGAUUAGCUAGUUGGUAAGGUAACGGCUUACCAAGGCGACGAUCAGUAGCCGACCUGAGAGGGUGAUCGGCCACACUGGAACUGAGACACGGUCCAGACUCCUACGGGAGGCAGCAGUGGGGAAUAUUGCACAAUGGGCGCAAGCCUGAUGCAGCAACGCCGCGUGAGCGAUGAAGGCCUUCGGGUCGUAAAGCUCUGUCCUCAAGGAAGAAAAAAUGACGGUACUUGAGGAGGAAGCCCCGGCUAACUACGUGCCAGCAGCCGCGG
rnacentral:rRNA from 1 species